UACGGGGGGUGCGAGCGUUGUCCGGAUUCACUGGGCGUAAAGGGCGCGUAGGCGGCUUACUCAGUCCGAUCUCCAACCCCCGGGCUCACCCCGGGGUCGGGUCGGGGACGGGUGGGCUGGGGCGCGGUCGAGGGAAGCGGAAUGCCGGGUGUAGUGGUGAAAUGCGUAGAGAUCCGGCGGAACACCGGUGGUGGAGACGGCUUCCUGGACCGUGGCCGACGCUGAGGCGCGAGAGCGCGGGGAGCGAACCGG
rnacentral:rRNA from 1 species